rnacentral:lncRNA from 1 species
AUUUCAUGAAAAGUAAUAGAUAAUUAAAUAAUCCGUGAUCCUAGGUAUCCUAAUCAUCCAUCUAACAUUUAUUUACGUUUCACCAAGAUUAUAGAGGAGAUUAGAACGAGCCACUCUUUGCCAUCACGCACCUAUAAAUAGCCCCACAAAUUCAAGCCAUACCACAACACACCAUACAUUAAAAACCUUCCCAACACGCUCUUGCCUCAUUCUUGUUCUAAUACCUUCUGUGAGCAUGGCCGAAGAGAAGCAGCACCAAGGCGUCUUCCACCACCACAAGAGCGAGGAGAAACCAGAGACUGCCACAGGUUAUGAUGCUCCACCUCCUCCUGUUUCAGAUGUUGAUUACAGAAAAGAAAAGAAGCAUCACAAGAAUCUUGAGCACGUUGCUGAGCUUGGAACUGCUGGCGCUGGUGCUUUUGCCAUGGUACAAUGUUUUGUCAGUUGUCACUCGCUAAUUUAAAUUCUGUGUGUUACUAUAUAUAUUCUGGUUAAUAUUUUUUUUAAGGUAUUCUUUUAUUUCAUGUAAUAAUCAAUCUUUUUAAAAAACACCUGUUUUCAAUCAUUGUUUUUUUUUAGAAUGGUUAUUGUUAUAUGUUUUUAUUUUUAUAUAUUUUACAAAAAAGGGUAAGUUGGUGGAUAUUUGCGUAUAGAAGUGUGUGUGUGUAUAAUUGAUGUGGGAUUCUCUCAUGUUAAAUAUUUCAAUGCAAGAGCUACAAACAAAUUCACGAUCUUUAAUCAAUUAUUUUUUAUAACCAGAGACAAAUUAUUUUCCAUAAAACAAUUAUUUUUUCUCUCUGUUUUUUUUUUCUUUAAUGAAAGUUCAAGAAAUCAGCAAGCCAGCAAGGAAUAGUUUUUUUUUUAUUCCAUAUUUAUUUGUUGCUUUAAUAAUUUAGAAUGAGAAGCACAAGACAAAGAAAGACCCAGAGCAUCCACACAGGCACAAGAUAAAGGAGGAGAUUGCCGCGGCAGCUGCAGUUGGAACCUGUGGACUUGUAUUCCAUGAGCAUCAUGAGAAGAAAGCAACCAAGAAAGAGGAAGAAGAGGCUAAUGGAAAGAAGCACCACCACUUCUAAUUGUUUUAAAUAAUUAAUUAAUCUUGUGUGUUACAGGCCUUAAUCUUGGUUACGUCACUAAUCACUAUAGUUAUAAAUCACCCCUCCUAAAUAAUACCUGUAUGCACGAGAUUUUUGUAUCCCUGCCGAACCGGUGCUAUCUGGCUCUUUCGCUUUUGUACGCAAUAUUAAUUCUUGUUUAUAAAAAUAUCUGAGAUGGUUAGGUGAUAUUAGUAUUUUGUCAUUUUUAAUUUUUAAUCUUUUCUUAUGAAGUAAUCAUUUUAUUUCUGUCCUGGUGUCUUUAGAUUUUCCCGAAGACAGGACUGGGAGGUUUUCGGCCGUGCCAUGUGAUUACUCGCCAAUAUGUUCGAGCAUAAUAAGUCAUUCAAUUAUUCUAAUUGGAGGAUUGUGUUUAAUUAUUAUUUUAAAAUUAAAGAGACAAAUAUAAAACGGAAAUAAAAAUGUUUUGCAAACAAAGAUAAAAAUAUAAAAUAAAUACAUUAAAGGAAUAAUUUUGGAAUAAAAUCUAGAUUUUUUUUAAAAUAAAAAAAGAGGUACAUAAAAAUAUGUUAUUCUUAUCAAUAACUAUCUCUGUUUUUUUAUUACAAAAUAGUAAUCAAAUAUUAUUUAAAAGCACAAAUACUAGAUUGUCACCUCAUCCAAUUAAGGUUUAAAUGCUUAUAUUAUAUUGCUUAUCUUAUCUAUGUUUUCUUCCUUAGUAGUACUUCCAAGUUUAAAUGUUGGAAUUUGUUUUAUAAAUCAUGGGUUAAUUGGCACAUUUGAUCCUAAACUUAAAGUGCGGUAUACUCACUUUCAUGGUUAAAUCUUUAUUAGAAAUUAUUCUCCAACAAAAAUUCUUUAACACGAAACAUUAACUUGAUUAAAAUAAAUUGAGUAAUUAAAAAAUUAAUCUAAAAUAACUCUAGAUUGACAUAUUUUGUGAAACUCAAAACUCUUUCUUCCACAUAGAAAAGAAAUAAGAUUUUUCUAUAACUUAUAUAGUUGGAAGUUGAAGGGUUAUAAAUGAAUCUUAAAGCAAAGUAGUAUUGGUUUAACCCACUCAUGCACACUUGGCUCUGGCUCGGAGUCUCAAGGCUCGAGUCCUGGGUCCUGGGCUUUGGUUUGAGUUUGUUUUUUUUAACCUAUUAUGGACUUCGAUUUCAGUUUAUUAUAAAAUAAUUCUUUGGCCUAUAAAAAAAAUAUUUUUUACUGGUCCAUUUAUGAAUAUUCAACCAAUAAAUAAAAAUUCUGAACAUAUUUUAAUUUUCCUCCCUUAUGUUUUACCUUUUUUUUUUUUCUAGUGUUUUUGUUCUUGUCAUUGUAAAGAGAUUUUAAGUAUAGAUUCCCUUGGUUCGUUAACUUUUAAAAUAAGUAUAUACUUUAAACGUAUACUUGUUGCAAUCAUAAAGGCUUGUUAAUAUCAUUCCUUUGUACAAAGAAAGGAUUUAUAAUUGACAAAAACUUCUUGUUACCUUUUGUUCUUUUGAGUUUCAUCAACAAGUAAGUACUAUAAUUUUUCUGGUUUUAGUUUCUCUAGUUUUAGUGUAUAUGUAUAUGAUAGUAUCAUGCUAGGUUUUUAAUUUACACAUAAUAUUUGUUUAUAUGGCUAGAAUACAUGCUAAAUUUUUAUAUAUAAGUUUGCAAGAUUUUAGUUUAUUAAUUUGAUGAACAUUUAAGUAUAUCCACACCUUUCUACAUUAUUCACAAUAAUCAUUCUCAUCUAAUACAUCUUAGAGCUUUAUUAAACACAUAAUUUUACUGAAAUCAAUUAAUUAAACUCAUUCUUUAUUUAAAUAAUUACAUCCCUCUUUCCUUGAGAAUAUAUUUGCUUAAUUAAAUCCCAACAAGUUCACACAUGCUAUAUGCAUUACACUUCUUUCACACAUCAUUAGUAAUAGAUUUCCACACAAACAAAAUUCAAAGUUCAAUUCCCUAUUUCUUCAUGUUAUGGCCGAAUGAACCACUAUUAGAAAGCUAAGUGAUUCUUUCCAAUUUCCUUCCAAAAUCAAGUAUUACCCAAAACUAAUCAUCCUAACUUCACAUUUUUAUCCCUAAUCUAGUUGUGACUUAAAAAAAUAAUAUAUCCCCCUAUUUCCCUACCUUGGUUGAACCACUCAUGUAUGGUGAGAGGCAAAUCUCUAUCUUAGUUCUUAUCACAAAUCCAUUACCUGUCCUUUUUCCUAUAUCUAGAAACAUGUUUUUCAACAUAACAUUCCUAACUGAACACACCUUCAUCAAAUCCUCUUCAUCUAGGGUUCCACAUACACUCAGUGUUAUCAAUUCAUGUAAAAUAGGUUCAAACAUGUAAAACCCCGUAAAACAAAAGUUCAACCGGUAAAUACCUGGGAGAAAACAUGAGGGAACCGGUCAAUGAACAACUUAAAAGACACUAGGAUAAGAAAAUACAACAUUCAAACAUGACCUAUCAUCAUUUAUGAGGAAGUAUAAAUACAUUGAGAGAAUAAAAAGGUGACUUUUUCUCUCCCUAUAAUCUGGCUAGAACAGCCUUAGCAGCCCCUUCUCUUUCUAAAUUUCCACCAAAACACUCCUUGCAUGUUACCUUUCUUGAAUGCUUGAGUGAGAGAAGAGUAAAUGUGAGGUGGGAGACUAAAAAAUUAAAGUGUUGGAAGAGGUAUAGGGCUGGCCGGAACACCAUAUAUAAAAGAAAGGGAAAAAAAGUGAUAAGUGCAAAAUAUACAUAUUUUUUUUCCUUUUACACUAUGCUUUUUAAUGUAUUUUGAACUUAUUUGAGUUGAUUGGAAGUUAUUUUUAUGAGUUUGGCAUGCAGAAGAGACUUCGUGAAUUAAUCGUUAAAAGAUAAGAAAUGCUGCAUUUUAUAUUUUGUACCUAGCUUCUUGUGACAGAUUGUUUGCCAAGUUAGAGUUCUAAAAUGAGAAGGUGAGCUUAAUCUAAGUUGAAGUACACAUGUCAAGGUUUCCAAGAAGGUAUUUUAGGCAAAAAACUGAUCUUAUUCGGACCUCGAAUCAGAACCGCAAACUCGGGUCAGAAUCUUUCUCGCAGCAGGAUUAUUUGCUUUCAUACUAGAUAUUCAAACAGGAAUAUCUUAAGCUUAUGAUAUCAAAAUCAGGCAAUUCAAAAACCCAAAUUCAUGCACACACACAUGACUACAACUUUCAUGGAGGACUCAAAGUCAAAUAAAAUUAUUUUGAAGGACAAAAUCCAGACGCAAUCUGGUUGGUCAAAAUGGAUCUCCUGAUCUGAUUCGGAAACUAACAAUGUUGAGCAUCCCAAUAUGACUGAGAGUCUGACAUAAAAACAGUGGGCCUUACAACCCAAUAAAGGUUCAAAUCAAUCCUUUAGCAUGUCACGAAUGAAAGAAUAUAGCUGAGAUGGUCGGAUAUUGCAAGAAACCAAGUCAGAAUCAAAGUCUAAAUUGCAACAGAGGUGGUAUUGCUACAGAAUUGUGACAGCAACAGAAUCCGUUUUCAACACAAAUUCUGAGAAAUUUAUCCAAUCUUAAGGACUAGAUAAAGAAGGAAAGAAUUUAGCAUCGUGAAGACUCCUAAUUAGCCUAAGAAUCCUGAAGAUUUCGGAAGCAAAAGGGGAGGAUAAAGAGAGAGCAAAACACAGCUGAAACAGGGUUCGAAAAACAUUCAUUUCUUCUCUGCUUUUGACAAUAUUUCAGCAACCGUGAACUAAACUCCUGAAUUCGGUUCAAAAAGAAUACACACCAUCUCCAUUAGCACGUUGUGAGAAGUAACGUUAUUAGUGUAAUUCUUUCAUAUUCAAGUAUUUAUUUUUUCUUGUUCAGAAUUAUGCUAUUGAUUGUUAUUCAAGCUUAUUGAAUUGUUUUGAGAUAGCAUGUAUGCUUUCUAGCUUAAAGAUUAAUUUGAUUGCUGAAACUAUCAUAUUGAUUUAUUAGGGAAAAAUAAACUAAAAUUGUCAAGCUUUUGAACGUUUGUUUAGAAUAAAUGCAUAGAUUUUAUUCCUAAGACUACUGCCGAGUGAAUGAAAAUUGCUUUCAAUAUUACAUUCGUUUGAUGGCAAGAAAUUGAUUACAGAGCUUUUCCUAAUUAAUGUACUCGUAAUCUCAUCGAUUUCCCUCAGCUUUAAGGGAUAUCGAAUUUAUUUGCUUGACGUGAAAGAAUAUUUAUUUUACUUCGAUGAUCAACAAAUUUCUAGGAAUGAAUGUUUGGACUCUUAAACUAAUUUAACGACAUAUCAAUUUAUUAUUUUCAGAAUUAUUAUUUCUUGAAUUUUUCAUUCAAAUCCCCCGUUCUUUCUCAUUUUGGUAUACUGUAAGAAGAUUAAAUGAAAUUUCUCUUGGGUUCGACCUGGUUUUCACGAUCAUACUAUAAAUUUAUUUUGUUUGUGAUAGUUAAGUCAGAAAUAUAUUUUGGUGGUUCCGAAUAUUGGAAUUGAUGUUAAUAUAAAAAUAUUUAAUUAAACAACUGUAAAUAAUCCCAACAUUCCUCUCAUGUGAAAAUGCAAAUAGCAAUUGAUAGUCUAAUAUCUUUGUUGGGAGUCAUGAUUUUUGUAACCCUCUCAUGGCUUGGUCUUACAUUAUCGAACAACAGAAAUGUAGCUGGCGAAUUUUAAUAACCAAGACAUAACUCAUUGGAGCCAAAACAUGAGAACACUCUCUGUUUGUUAACAUUAUUCAAUGGCCACCGCCAAAUUCGAACUAGACUUUCUUUACAAUAAUCUUGUUAUGCUUCAAGGGUGGUGGUGAAGGAGGAGAAUCCUCGGAUUUAACACAAGAACCUUCAAGAAUGUCGCCUUCCUCCGCGGUCCUAGCGUGACAAUCAUGGCAGGCCAGCAUUGUCGAUUGAUGGUGCGAAUUGCUCGACAACAUCCACGACCUAGGUUAGUCUCUCCAUUAAAGAGGAAGAGGAUAAUUUUCCCGGUGCUGGGUCAAAGAACCCCAACAAGUGUAAUGCGAUUUCCGAGACACUAUAAGGAUCUUCUCAGGUGAACUUCAUGAAACAGCCGAGCAUAAUUAAGUAAUUUUCAACUUUUGAAUACAAAUAUGAAAUAGUAUGAUGUUUGUGACAAAUUGGAAGGGAAUCGUCAUCAAGAGUUCUAUAGCAGUUUGAUCAGCUUCAGGGUUAUUGCGGAUACAAUAUUGCUGAAUCUCAAUCAAUAUUAACAUUGAAAAGCCCAAUUACUAGAGGAAAGCUGCAACUCCCUUUUGCUUUUAGCUGUCGUUGGCAUCGCUGGCUUCUUAUUGGUUGCAAUCCGAAAUAGUUAGUUUUUUUAAAAAAAGUGUUAUUUUUAAUAUUAAUAUGUUCAAAUAAUUUUAAAAUAUAUAAAAAAAAUUAUAAUUUAAAACACAAUUCCAAACAACUCAAAAUCACAACAAAAUGAGUUCGAAAAAGUUAGCCGUAAUAUAUAUCCAUGAAUGAAUAUCACUUAAAACUGUAAUUUUCUCAAGACAAAUUAAAUUGGAUCCACCCACCAACAAUUCUAUAAAAUAUCAAAAUUUUGUCUUAUAAAAGAAGAGCAAUGUUUCGAGCAAUAUCCAAGAAUUUGCACAAUAAAUCAAAAGAAUUAUUUAAAUAUAGAAUUUCUUAUUUACGGUUGGUUCGAAGGAGAUGACACAGUGUAUUCUAGGGUUUAAUUAAUGUUAAAAGCAACCAUAUCUAAUUUCCUCCAUGAUGAUACGUGCAAAGAACUUCAUUAUAAAAGUAAUAUAUAGUUAAUUAAAUAAUCCGUGAUCCCAGAUAUCCUAAUCAUCCAUCUAGCAUUUAUUUACUUGUAACCAAGAUAUAAUUUAUAGAGGAGAUUAGAACGAGUCACUGUUUGCCAUCAUGCACCUAUAAAUAGCCCCACAAAUUCAAGCUAUACCACAACACACCAUACAUUAAAAACCUUCCCAACACGCUCUUGCCUCAUUCUUGUUCUAAUACCUUCUGUGAGCAUGACUGAAGAGAAGCAGCACCAAGGCGUCUUCCACCACCACAAGAGCGAGGAGAAACCAGUUGAUUACAGAAAAGAAAAGAAGCAUC